AACGCGAAGAACCUUACCAGGUCUUGACAUCCCUCUGACCGUCCUAGAGAUAGGGCUUUCCUUCGGGACAGAGGAGACAGGUGGUGCAUGGUUGUCGUCAGCUCGUGUCGUGAGAUGUUGGGUUAAGUCCCGCAACGAGCGCAACCCUUGAACUUAGUUGCCAGCACGUUAUGGUGGGCACUCUAGGUUGACUGCCGGUGACAAACCGGAGGAAGGCGGGGAUGACGUCAAAUCAUCAUGCCCCUUAUGACCUGGGCUACACACGUACUACAAUGGCCGGUACAACGGGUCGCGAAGCCGCGAGGCGGAGCCAAUCCCAGCAAAGCCGGUCUCAGUUCGGAUUGCAGGCUGCAACUCGCCUGCAUGAAGUCGGAAUUGCUAGUAAUCGCGGAUCAGCAUGCCGCGGUGAAUACGUUCCCGGGCCUUGUA
rnacentral:rRNA from 1 species